CGCGCCGCGCGCCCCCGGCGCCGCGCGCCCACACGCCCGCUCCCCUUCCGCGCUCGCCCGCUCGCACGGCUUCGGGCCCGGCCUGGCCGGCCGCCUGGCCGUCAGCGGCACCUAGGAGCCCGCCCGUGGGCCCGAGAGGCCGCUUCUCAAGCCCUCUGGAGUCCAGUGUUAACCGUUGUUAACAGUGAGAUGGAGUGGACCCCCCGCUCCCCCCCCCCCCGGCACCCCUCCGAGCCCGAACUGUGUGCACGUGAAAGGUGCCCUCCUUGCAAUACAGUGGAUCUUUUGGAGAGAUGGAUUCCCCGUGCUUGAAUUAAAAAGUAAUAAUAAUAAACAGGCGUAUGAAGCCUUGUGAAGAAGGGCACAGAAUAAGGGAUCUAAGAUUGAGUAGGUGAAUAAGGAGAAUAGAGACAGACGCAGGCAGGCAUGGGUAGAUAACAGGGGAAACACAGACCUAAGUGGAAGAGAUGGCUUCCUGCUACCUGUAGCAUUUAGGGGUGCGGGCCGCUGACGCAUGUGGCUUGUGUACAUGUGACAGUUGGUAUGUGGCUAGAUCCUGUUAAUGUUUUCAAUGACCUCUUAUUGGUGGCUCCCCAAAAUACAUAUAAAUUGGGACAUACUCAUUCUUGUUACAUCCUUUGAAGCCAUGUCAGCGGUUAUGAUUCAAUAUUUCCAAAUGGUAAAGGUGACCCAGGACAUGGUGUUGUGUGGCCAAAGUGUGGAGGGAAAUUCAAAUCAGUAAAUCGCAUCCACUCGACAGGAUUGUUUCUCCAGCGUCUCUUGGAAUCAGGAAGUAUGAUUUAUUUUGUUAAGAAUGGAUUGUUUUUGUUCCAUCCUAGUCCUUGAUUCGUUUAUUCAGUACGUAGUUACGGUGCCUUUGCAAAAAGCUGAAAAAAGAAUGAUAUGUCUUUGGGCCUUUCGGAAAGAAACAGAAAUCGUUGGGGGAUGAGGAGGAGGAAGGCGAACCUUUUCUCAUACUAUUUCCUUGGAAUCUGUAUCAGACAAGUAGAAGGGAAUCCCUUUUUGUAUUAGAUUAUAUAGCCUUUGACAGACUCUCAAUGUGUUUUGUUUUCUUCUUGCUAAGAAUUUUUCAAAAUACAUAGAAUCGUUACAUAGAAGUUAGUGGCAUCGAUGUGAGACCAUGGGACCUGCUGGGGGCAAGAUAGACAAUAGAGAAAAGAAAAGGGAACUGACAGACAAGCUGAGGUCUUAAUUCAGAGGGCUUCGUCUGAGUGACUUGGCCUCUCCCACUGGCAGUCCACACCGUCUGUGCAUGCACCUUGGGCAUCCCAUCAGCUGGGAUUCAUGAUAUAUGUUGUCUGUAACGUUUAUGCACUUAAAUGAAUGCAAAUGGCUGGAUUCUAACCACUGAGGUUCGCAAAAACUAUGCUUAAAUGGUAGAAAGGUAUCCAUGGAUGUGCGUGUAUCAUUCACGUGGUGUUCGCAGAUAUUUUUGGUUAUAUUGAGAAGGAACAGUUGGUAUUUUGGAGUGCCAUUUUCUAUGACCUUGCCCUACAGAGUCCAAGAUCGCCUGGUUCAUUAUGGAGCAGCUGAGGUGGGGCUCUUGACCUAUGUGGUGUGAACCCCACAUACUUAGUAUUUAAGGUACAUUAAAUACAUGGGAAAUUCACUUCUUCAGAGUUUUAUAUGAAGAACUGAAAAUCAUUUACUGUCUUAAAGUAGUAAGUCAGCCAAAAUCUCUACAUCUAUAGCAUCAACACACACACUUACACACACACACACACUCACACACCCCUACACCAAUAACAGCAACAACACAUUGGCCUCAUAGACAGUUUUGAAAGUGCAUUUUAACAGCAUCUUCUUUAAAAAGCAUCAGUAAAAAUUAUUCACAUCUCUCCUCCUUAUCUUGUCUGUGACCACUUUGAAAAAUAGGCUGUUCUGUGUUAUGGAUGUCAAAACCUUUGACUGUACUUUGGGACUCUAUGUAAAUACUUUUUGUAACAAUUUUACUUUUAUUUGCUAUUGAUAUGAUUUAGGAAGAAACAAAGUAGUUGGGUUUAUCAUUGUGGCUAAAACCCCACAUAUUGUGGUUCACAGGCCUUUUCAGUCUUGUAAAAUAAAAUACCGACAGCUGUGCGACCCCUCUGAGUGUACAAUGAGGUUCUUAACAGGUUGUCGGAGGACAAGAAAGUCUGUAGAUGAAAUGAGAAAAACACUACAGGGCCGAAAAAGUUUCGCGGGACUACCACCGUGUCUUUCCAGCCUAAAAACUGCAACAAUGAAGCCCUUUUGAGAAAUGUGAGGGUCCGCGUGAUGGACUCGGGUUGUUUUCGUCAUUCUUAUUCUACAGGUUUUUACUUGAAGUGCGAAUCCCAGCAGUGAGAAAAUCACAGCCAUGCUGAAUUCAUUACUGCGGUAGUCACACAAAACCACGGAUAAAAUUUCAAUAACUGCAGGCCACAGUUGAGUAAACAGUUGCACUGAAAUUUAAUUCCUGUUGACUUUUCCCCCAUUCCUCGCCAGGGGCACAUUCUGAUUCUGUAGCACAAAGACAACAGGGGUUACAGCUUUGAUUAAUGUAGGACAGUGGAAGAGAAUUAGAACUGUAAGAUAUGUUAGAAGUCCAUGGAACAAAAAGAUGUGGCUUAAAAGGGCUUGGUAUGAAAAUGAGUUAAUUAUGCUGUGUGUAACACUGAAUGUUCUAGGAUUUUCCAGUUGCACCAGUGCAAUCGUUGAUGAUGUAGGGAGAAUUUUUACCUAGUGCCAGGACUUUAACUAAAUGCAAGCCUUUCCAUGUUUGAUUCUUAUUACCAAAGAUAAUUACAAAUGAUAGCAAGUGCCCUUUCAGAAUGGAGAGCUUUCACACAGAUUAGCUGUGGAAGGAGUGACUUCUAGACUGGGAUUGGUCUGUAGGUUGGCUAAAUUAGGUCCAAACAGGAUAGUUAAAAAAAAAAAAAAAAAAAAAAAGUUCAUAGCUGACAACCUCGAAAGGUGGCGGGAAUCUGGCUUUUCCAUCUUCUCUUGAAAAAUCAGAAGAUCUGGUCACCAUAGACCAGUAUUCCUACAAGGGCAACAGUUGUUCAGGGAUGAAUUGGUCCUCAAGUCAGGGAGCCUGCAGCCCUCCAGUCCGCCCCAGCUCCCAUCUAGCAACAACGCUCCUUUGUGGCCCUUUAGGCCUUGGAGUUGGUGGUUCUGUGGGAUGCCAUCAUCACUCAGAAGCCAUCACCCAGGGAGAGAUGCUGCCGUUAGCUGGCCGAGUCCGCCAACACACUCCCAACCCGUCCUCCUUCCUCAGAACUAAACGUAUUAUCUCUGUCCGGUUUCAAGUCGACUUCUAUCCAGGCCAUGAGACUAUUAGAACAAUAGUUUUCUAAUAAUGUAAUUUGAUAGACUUUCUGAACAUUUCUUUUAGCCACCGGGUAAUUCUUCACCCGGUACCAUAACUGCCUCUUAUUUCCUAUUAUGCCUUCCCCCCCACCCCCGGGUCUGUAAAAGUUCCGUAUUGGAGAUGCACUACUCCAUUAGGAAACUCGGCAACAAAUACUAUUACCAAUUACUAAAGUUUUUUUUUUUUCUCCUAAAGAAAGGAUUUUAAAAUGUCCAGAGCAAUUUCAUAAACUGUGUGGAUUAAUGCGUUUUAAAAGUCUUGAAUUUUAGAAAGCAGAAUUUUAUUUCCAUAUUGCUGCAAAUGAGAGCUUUUUCAGAUAAGCAUAUUACAUAGAGCAUAAUGUUUAGAAGUUUCUCCAUAUACAGCAUAUGCUGUCAGGUCAAUUAACAGAAUGCAUACUAGAAAAUGUUUAUUCAAUAAAAAUGAAUAGCUGUUAAAUAAAACAGCUAUUUCUUAACAACAUUCCAUUUAAUGAUGGGGUUUUUUUUUUGGGUACCACCUGGCAGUUUUAUUGUCUGAAAAUCAGUAUAGAGAGAGCUUUGGUUGCUGUGGUUUUGAGGUGUGGCCAUUGUUUUAUAGGAGGAGGGCAGUUUAGAAGUAGUCUGUGAGAAAAACGUUAAAAAAUAGAUAAACCAUAUACGGGAAUUGAAUAUGGAUUCUUCAGAGAGUGUGAGUCAGGGAAGUAUUUGUUUCAUCCAUUGACAUUGGUCCUUUGACAUUUGGCAUGAGGGUUUGGGCCUUUUGGCCCUAAAGAUGCAUACAUGCCAUCAACACAUGUGUAUAUGUACAUGUUUCCUGUUAAUAAUGUAAAAGAAAGAGAGAAAACAUCGAAUGAGCGCUGAGGAGUUAAGAGAGAUGUAAAGGGCAGGUAUCUUCUGAAAGAAACAUCACGAGAGGGAAGAAGGAUUUGUUGGGUCGUGUUUUGCCAGUGAGUCACUGCACAGGGCCAGGGAAGCUCCGAGAAACAGCGUGAGUGUGAGAGAGCGCAAGAAGGAAAUCUGGCUGUGGACAUUCACAGGGGAUAUGGAAAAUACAGUGUCAGAGAGGCACGGGAGAAUCACAAGUCGAUAGCCUGGGGUCCUCAGGAUAUGAAAAACCAAACUGUAAUGACCAGAGUGUGAACACUUGAGCCUAAGCCGUUAUAGGACCAUUGAAAAUUCCUCUCUUGACUUUCAAAAUGGCAGAAUGAAUUUCUCCUUCAUUUUGUUCUUGUUACUGAAAUGACUAGUGGAUACUGAGCAAAAGAGGGCCGUUGUCCUGCCAACAUUUUUCAGAUUUCAGUGCCUCUGUGAAAAACAGCGCCUGGAAGAAGUAUCUGUCCGUGUUGGGAUGGGCGGUGAGCUCGCAUAAAAGAAAACAUUUCUGUGCUUCUCAUUCUUCCCCAUAUUCCUUUGUGGGAACAGUGCUGCCUUUACAGUGGCCAUCACUCUCCUUGUUCCUCCCUCUACAGAGGGAGGCCCAAGUGAUUAGCUGUGGAUUGGUAUGAAGGCCAGGUCGCAGUGGCCACUUGGGCCUUACCAUUCUUCUCUUUGCAAAACGUUGUUCUAUUAACAUUGUUAGGAAUGCCCCGAAGUGGCCUUUUGCAUUGUAGCUGCUAGGGACUGUGUCUGAAAGGAGGGUCUUUUGAUGCCGUUGGAAGGGAAAAGAUAGUCAGCAUUUCUGUGUCCGACAAUGGAAACUUCUGGAAGGGAGUGUAGAAGAAGGUAUUAUUAAUAUUUCUUAAGUUCCCUCCUUGGUGCAGGUACUGUGAUACGGGCUAGCCCCUUCCUUCACCGGUGGGUGAAAAUUCAAACCCUCAUUUUAAAGGGCUCACUCUACCAAGAUAUAUUCUUGUUUGAACACAAUGUGGAGUUCAAAUAUUACAGAAAUUAUUGAUGAUGAAAAACGUAUAGUAGGAAUCAGGGCCACCAAAAUGUUAGCGCAGACCACACGAACAAAUUGAGAUAAAACUGAGACAGGGAUUCAGAUAAUUGUGAACAAUAGAGAAAAUGCUGCCCUAACAGUAAGAGAUUCCCCCCUUUUCUCAAUUCCUUUUUGUGGCUAUUUCUGGAAAAGGCCUUUUUCACCCUGAAUGCUAAAUUUAGUUCUCUACUCCGUGAGUUUGGACCUCCCUCUCAUCAAAAUAUUGUCAAAGAUGUAUGUAACUUGUGAUGUGAGCCCUGUAUGAAAUCCUUUCAAGUUUCGAUUACUAAACAGUUGUGUGUCAUUAAUUUCUCCGCUGAAAGUUAAGCUGGCAUGAGAAACAACAAAAAGCAAGCCAUGUGCAUAAGAGAGCCUGGGAAUAGAACCCCAGAUGCCACAUUUCAUCAUGAGAGAAGUGUACCCUCUGGACUUUAAGCUGAGGCGUCACUACUUUGAGCAGGUAAUUUUAAGCCCUGACCUGUGAGCCAAUAAUAAUAAUAAUAAUAAUAAUAAUAAUAAUAAUAAUGAUAAAAAACAGCAACAACAACAAUAAUGCCACCACCCUCUAUCUCUUGUCUGAUCAGAAAUCUCUUUUUGAACUUUCUGGAGGUGUGACUUUAAUGGUAAUUUGAUGACAGAUUAGCUAGCGUUGUUUUGCAGAACUGGCGGGCUCCUCUCUGUUCUCUGAAGGCAAGGAACCUACUUUGCUGUUUUGCAACUGCUUGUGCUUAUUGACAAGUGGUGCUGACCAGGCAGAAUUGGUAUGUUUGUAUAAUGUAAACCUAUAACUCCGCUGAUGGAGUCGAGUGUCCUUUUAGGUAGCGCAUAGAUUACUUGAUAAAAAGGGUUACGAGGUGACUGCUUUUAUGACAAAGUAGAAUAGCAAUAUAAAUGCGAGUGCUAGAUGGAGCCACCAAAGGGAAGUUUAUACAGGGAAUUGAACCCCCUAUUAGAAAGUUUCUUUUCAUCACUUGGUCUUUGAACUCAAAUCUAUUGUAAUUAUGAAGUGUUACUUGUAACAUUCCAGAGACCCUUCGCUAAAUACUGUGUUUGAUUUGCUUCAGAGAAAUACACCCACAUUUUUUUUUUUUCCUUUCACCUCUGCAAGAAAAUGUGGCAGAGGGAGUUUCACGUACUCACCUGGCCUCAGCUUUGUUCCACGUGAGCUAAUAAACGUGCUGCCCUGGAAAAUACCGUGUUAACCUUGUCUCUUACCUUUGGAGUUCUUGAAAUUCAUUUGUUCAUUUGUUGCACCUUCUUUGAUUUGACUGAUCUGCGUGGUGCGUGCCUGUGUGUAAGGAGUCAGCACAGAUGCCAGCAAAGCAAAUUUGGGGUACAGCCUGAAAUGCAAGGAUGGGAGCUUUGGGAAGGUGGUUCCAAGGUUACCUGGGGUCAGCUUGCUGGAGGCUUGGGUUUCUACAACGGGGGAGGUUUCUAAGCAGUGAAGAGAGGCCAUUCAAGGGGAGGGGUGCUGAAGGUAAAUUAGAGGGUUGGGGCUGGCCUGGCUUGGAAGCAAAGAGAUCCCUGAGAGAUGAGUAGCAUCCACAAGGCUCUUGCAGCUGGUCCAGAAUUUAGUACUGGGCACUAGACCUCGCCUCAUUUCAUUGAGGGCUCGCUUUUACUGAUCACCCGUCCCCCCCUUGCCCUUGCAUUUCUCCUCCUACAUUUGAAUCCCUUGGUCGGCUGUAAGCCCCACAAGGGCAGGGAUGGCCCUUCCUCAUUCCCUGAUGUUCCCCAACACACAGCACAGGACCUGACAUAGAGCAGUUCUUUGACAGACUCCGUGAGUGAAUGAAAUAGGAAGAGAAGGGAAGGCCGUGGCCACAAGAGAGCGUUGAGGGGCGUGUUAGAAAAUCAACAGGGCCUUUUGAAUUAGAUGUGAAAACAUUGAGCAGCGGCAGUUAUGAGGGGUAGGUCACCAUUUCCCAUGUGAAUGACUGCAAAAGGGUGGCAUCAGGGAACAGAAGAGAAAAAAGGGCAUCGAGGAGAACCCAUGUAUGUUCCUUUCCUACCUGUCACUGUUUGGUUAUUGUGCUAUGAUAACGCACAAACAUAAUUUGUAAGAAGGGAAUGGACUUAUUUUGGAAAGUUCUUUUUUUUUUUUUUUAAGCUAUUUAAAACAACAACAAAAACAGCAUCCUCUUCUAUCACUAAAACUCACUAUUUUGAUUGUGUAUGUUUAUUUGUAUUUAUUUGCAUCAAGCAUUUUCCCUUUAGCCUUUGGCAGGUACUAAUGAGUAUAUCUUCCAAAAGUCACAUGGGAAAUGCUGAUAAACCGCUUGUGUCCCUAUUGAUCAUGGGACGGACUUAAUCUCUUUUGGAGAACAAAACUACAAAGUUAGAUCUUUGAUAAAGUCUCCUUCAUAUUGACACAAGCUUCUUAGAAUGAAUUUGUUUUUUAAGGUGAAAGGGGGUGUAUGUCGUGUUUCUUUUGUUGGAAAAAUACAAUGUGUCCUUAUUAGGCAGCUGGUGUUAUCAGCGGACUCAUUGACGGGGUGUAGAUUCAACUGCUUAGGGAUGUCAGGGCCUUGUUUGUGUGUUUAAGUUGAGCCCUGGAUAGAGGCAGAUGGGGGGAAGGAAGCUCUGUUCUCUUUAAUCCUUCUGUGAGAAUGUUUUCCAGUCUCUUCUGCCUAACAGGGGUAGGAUUUUGGAAAGGUGGUAACCCUAAGGGUCUCCUUGAAUUAACCCUUUUUAUCCCUAUUUUUAGACUGCUCCUUUUCAACUGUACCCAAAAUAAAAUUAACUUCCUGACAUAGAUUCGUCUCCCGCAAAGUUUCUCCAAGUAGACUAUUUGUCACACAGUUCAUCAUCCACACAAGCGCAAGGAAUCGUCAGUAUCAUCGCUGCUUGUCAGAAGAGGUGAAGUGGCAGCUGGUCCAAAAUCCGUGUUUUUAUCACUGUACCUUCUCCUCUCACCCCCAACUCCCCUGUCUCCACGUUGAAGGGAAGGUGACAUGAUGUCUUCUGAGUCAUUCAAAUCCAAUAACUUUUAAUCUGAAGGUUAAGUAGUGAGAUAUAAACUAAGAGAUGAUAAUAUCAAUUUUAUGUUCACUGAAGGGCACAAUAUACCUCUUUCUAGUGGAGGGAAAAUUGUGCGUAAAAUGUCUUUUGCUUUUCAACAGCAGAGCCAUAUAUGUGUCUCAGAGCCAAAGGGAGAAAGAGUUUUGGAAAAAUUUAAUAAAAUAAUAUGUAACAUCCUGAAACAGGGCAGAAGCGGCCUUUUAUGAGUAUAAUGAUUAAGUAUUAAUUUUUCAAGGUUGCAUGGUAAGACGCAGUUCCAUUUUUAUAGCCCCUUGUAUUGACUCUUGUUAUCCUGCAUACGAACCCAACAACCUUUUACAAGGUUAAAGACUGGGAGAGAAUGACAUAAUGCUCAUUCUUUCCUGACUAUUUUGGAUCCUAAUAUGUAUGAUAAAUAAUACCGCGAUAAUAUUGCUUACCUUGCCUCAUUUUUUUCGUCCUACUCAUGAUAUUUCCAUUUCAACUCAAUAGGCAUUCAACAUCCAAAAGUAGUAAGUGAAAAUGUCUUUACGUGCAUUUUUAUUAUAUUCUGAUUAUCUCAUUGGAUAUACACUCCUCUUACCAACUCAGAGCUCGUGCUGGGUAUUCCAUGUGUAUGUCGCGCGCGUUUACAGAUAGACUGACUGUGUCAUGAACGUGUUCGGAGAGGGAAAGGCAUCAUGCAUAAGCUGACUAUGUGACGUUCACAAUUAUGAUCGUCACAGUUAUAUUCUGGAAAUAUUUCAAACUUGUUUCAGGCAUUUGUUCAGUACCUUGACUGGGCAGGUUCUAGGUACAAAGUGCUGUGUUAAACCUGCAAACUAUACCAGGGUUGGGGAGCUAAGCCACAAGGCCAAACUAAAUCAGACCGCCACCUAUCUUUUUAAAGAAAGGUUUUGUUGACAUUUAUUGAGCACUGUGGUAUUCUAUUUCUUCUCCUCGUGCUAUCUCAUUUAAUUCUCCCGAGGGACCCAAUGAGGUAUUUUGUUUGUUUGCAGCGUGCUAUCUCAUUUCCUUCUCCGAGGGACCCCAUUUUAGUAAACAGACUCAGAACAUUUAAGGAUCUCGUGGAAGAAGAAAGAAAGAGCUAGAAAGAGUCAAGAGCAGGGGGUGGGGGAAGGACUUGUCUGCUGUUGAGUUCCUGGAUCCACUUGUUCAUGCUGUUGGUUGCUCACCUGCCUUCUUUGUGGUGUGUCUGUCCAGCCCUUCCUUGAAGAGUUGAGAUUUAGUAAAUUCCCUUCUUGGACUUAAAAAAAAAAAAAAGAAGAAAAAAAAGUUUUAUUGAAACAUCACCAUCUCCCUUGCUUUCCCGUUGUCUGUAUAGCUGCUUUCUUCCUACCGCAGAAGAGGUGAAUUAUUGCGACAGUGAAUGGAUAGCUCACAAAACCUGAAAUACUUCUCACCUGGCCCCUUCUAGAAAAAGUUUCUUGACCCCUGAAUUAGUAAAUAGCAAAUGUGGCAAGAGUUACCUUCCAGAACCAUCUCUUCUUUUUUUUUUUUUUAAAUUAGCAUGCGUGCAUGCACGAGAGCGGGGGGAGGGGCACAGAAAGAGGGAGACGCGGAAUCCGAAAUAGGCUUCAGGCUCCUGAGCUGUCAGCCCAGAGCCCAACAAAGGGCUGGAACCUAUGAACUGGGAGAUCAUGGCCCGAGGGGAAGUCAGAUGCUUAACCGACUGAGCCACCCAGGCGCCCUUCGAACCUUCUCCUCUUUAUAUGAAGUGAAAACCUGAGGGAUCACUCCUCCUUCCCCUCCCAAUCAUCCCUCAAAAAAAGAGAGGUAUCACAAUGUAUGACUUUGUCUUUUUCAGGCGUGGUAAAGUCACUUGUUGGUUCACUCAUACCUGCACAGCUUCUUUCUCAUCACGUAGCUGAAUGCAUUUUACAAAUUAAAUGUUUUGGAGUCACUGGUGGUUAGAAGAACAAUCAGCCACCACCCCACUGAGGAAAUGGAGGUUGGACACUGUGUCACUCAAAGAGCACAUGUUCUUCUCCAUGGUUCUCUCACCAGAGAAAAUUAACGUAAAAAUGAGCCUAUCUUAUUAUGUUCACAGUCCCAGAAUAUAUGAAGAAAUACCCUUAAUAUCUCCCUGAAUUCAUAAAAUUUAUAAUCUAAUUGUAGUGGAACAGAACAUAAACAUAGGCAUUAAAUAUCAAUAAAAAUUUCAAAGCAAAUGAAGAUAAGCUGUAGAAGAGAUGCCAGUGAGUAAUCAACAGAUGAGUGAUUUAAGCACUAAAUCUUCAGUAACCCAGAGAGGAAGGGUUUAUUUGUGACCGUGUUGGUGGGAUUUCGGAAGCCCUUGGUACAAUUUAAGAAACAGUAACUCAUCACAUGCACACCAGCUGAUUUCAUUUAAGCCUUUCGGUCAGGAGAUAAUGGAUAGAAGGUGUAUAGUCAGCCAGUAUGGCUUUGGUUUAUGACCUAAAUGCCCAAGGGUGCAUCGCUGCCAUUUUGCCAUUUUUAACUUGGGGAUAAGCAAGGGGGAUUUCCACUGUGGAGCAACUGCAGGUAUAUGGUAAGGAGAAGUUGUGUAUACUGGACGCCAGCAUCUGAGUUUAUUGGUCUCCAGGAAAUGGCCUGGGGCCUAUCUGUUUACACAGACCAUUGCCUGAGUUGAGUGUACGAUCUCCAGAGAUUAGAUGGAGACUGACAAGGCUGGUCGUUUGGCUGGUGGUGUCCAUAUUUUAUAUACUUUCUUAUAUUGAAUUUUAGCUGAUUCAUCUCUGUUUGUCAUAGAGCUAGAACGAGUGAAGUCAUAAUACCUAAUUUUGAAAUAGUUGUCAAAUUUGAAGGUAUUGGUUAAGUCCAGCUUUUUAUGAACUGACACUCUUUCCUAGAAAUGCAUGGCCUUGUCUUUUCUCCCUUCUGUCUGUCUUCUUUGUUUUCUUACAUUCUUAUUUCUUUCUGGUUUUCAGCGUGUGGCAGAUGACUUAUCAUGAGGUCUCACAAUUAGUGAAAAUCUCUUUUGUUUUCCAGGUGGGAGGGUUUCUCUAGCAAAGGCCACGUCUUUAAUUCCGUCAUGCAUGCAUAUUGCAGGUUUACGGUUCCUCCUUUGUGAAUCUGAUGAAACCUCAGCAUCUUUUGCCGUGAAAAGUGUGUGUUUAUGCGUGUGUUUGUGUAAUUUUGCAGUGCGUUUCAUGCACAUCCUGCCCCAACCCCCUACCCCCCAGUUAGAACACUAUACAGUCCAUACUGCUUGUUAAUUAGAUUUGCUUGCUGAUUCAGUGUUUUGACAAAUGUUCCUCAAUUUUUCUGUGUUUAAUUAGUGUUAAGUAUAUUAGUAACCUAUCUUUAAUUUGGAAAAGGUUUCCUCUUCUGGCUCUCAGUGCUUACCAAUGUGUCCCUGGAAUUAGUUCUUGGAUAUCUUAAAUGCAGCACGAUAAAUGCCAGCUCUGAAGAAAACUCUGGAAAGUAAGGUCAUAGAAAGCACUCUGCACAGGUUCUAAGAGCCAUUUUGUAUCUGUUCAAAUGCAAUCACCAGGUUUAUACACUCUUGAGUUCUUCUAAAUAAAGAACCCAAGUAAUUUUACUUGGAAGAUCUUUGACUACAUCAGCAAAGGUUACAGUAAAUGAUACAUAUGACGCUGGCACUCCCUUUCGUGGCUGCCGGGAGUGUAAGUUCGUGCUGCCCGUUCUGGGGGCACUGUGGCAUGGGGUGUCAAGAGGCUUAAGAUCAUCAUACCCUUUGAUUCAGGGGUACGCUUUUACUGAGAGGUCGUAUAGCGUUCAGCAGCUGUUCUCAGACUUUUAUGUGUAUUGGAAUCAUCUGGAGGGCAUCUUAAAAUGUAUUGCUAGGCUUACCCCCAGAGUACUUUAUUCUGUGGAUCUGGUGGGGGGGGGGGCAAGAAUUUGCCUUUCUGAUGCUUUUAACUCAUUCUCUGCUGCUCGUUAGAGGAUCACAUUUUGAUAACAGCUCCAAAAGGCAGAGCAUCUAAAAGCAUAGUCAGUAGAGCCAGCCUGUUUCCUUGUCCAGUGGACCUAAUCGUGUAUUGUAUUGACGGUAAUAUACACAGGUACUUAGUUGCUUACCCAGCGCGUGCAUUUCCACUAGAGACUUAUUUCACUGCCUCAGUCUAGAAAAUGCUGGAGAAACAUUUCAUGUGAGACAUUUUGGAAUCCUCCUCGCAAGGGUUCAGAGCUCAUUUCUACUACUUGCUGGAAGAGUGAAGGUAGGUGAGUUUUGCCAGUCUUUCUAAGCUUUACUUUUCUCGUCUGUAAAAUGGGGUAAUAGAGAUAACUUCUAGAGUGGGGUUGCGUAUAAAUACGUUGAGUAACAUACAUAUAUAUGCAAAGGCCUUAGCACAUUAGUCAAGCCUUUAAAAUAGAGUGCUCUCAACUCUAGAAUUGUGCUUGCUUAACAUCUUCUGAGGGCAGGGAAAAAGCAGGGCUGAAAUCUUAGGGAUCCAAAGUCACAGACCAGGAGGGAACCAACUUGCGCCCCAUGGCGAUUCCAUUCUUUAACAUAUAUUCCAUCACGUACACCAUCCAGUUUGUAUUCAAACCUGAUCACCUUGGAGCGUUGUAGAAAUAAAUUCACGUUAGAGACCUCCAAGGAGAACCCUCCUCCAUGAAUUCCAGAGUUCUUGUGUCUUCCCUCAUUGGGAUGAUUAAUUGGAAUACGGACACACUCCGAUUUGACAGUCACACUCUUCAUUUAGAAACUGACCUCUAUAGGAAGACUGCAGAGAAUCCGUUCUUGUAGGCAAUUAGUGCCCCAAUUUACCAUUUUAGAAAAGAAAACAUAUAUCUUAAUAAAUACAGAAUUUCUCCCGCAUACCUACUAGCAACGUUACUAAAGGGGCCCUACCACAAAUGUUUUAAAUUUAGAGGCAGAGCUAAGGACACAGUUUGCCUCCAGAAUCUGAAUUGAAUCAGGGUUUUAUUUCAGAUAAAAUCUUUGGGGCUCAUAACUUAAAAAACACAACUUUUACUGGCAUUACGCAAUUUGCCACGGGUCAUUUAGCGAAAUGUUUGUAUAUGUAAGCCCAGGUUCUUCUUUUAAGAAAAAGGAGCGGUGGAAGGUGGGGAUUGGAUUUUGCUAAAAUCCAGGUGGCGUUUCAGUUUAUAUUUAAUUUUAAUUGGAAAUCAAAUACAGGCAAGGGAGAAAAAACCUACCAUGUUUUCUUUACUAAGAGUAUCCAUUGGGGAGGGGGGAGGACACUGCCAGCCAAAUUUUAAGAAGCAGCUUUUUUAUUGGCAUGUCUAUUUUUUUUUUCUGGCUAAAUUCUUGUGCCUGCAUUUUCUUUUUUAACAUCUAAGUUUUUACACAUGGCAAUGAUUUUUAUGUCUCAGGGCUCCUUACUGCCCUCCUUCUGUAAUUUCUACGGGAUUAGUACCUAGAACCAGGAUAGCAAAUAAUUACACCCUGCGCCUAACAAGUGGCUUCCCCAGGCCGUUGUCUGGCAAGCCCCCUUUCUAGGUUCCAGUCGGACAUAAUAUUUGACUUCUGUGGCCCGUCUUAUUUCUGGAAGGUUGGGGGAAGUUUCUGAAGAAUUAAGAAGGGGGGGAGGGAGUCGAUUUUUUUUUUUUUAGCCAGAAUUUUAGGAGGUGCUCCCAUUUGUGAGUAUAACUAGCUAUAUAGGUGCAUUUUGUGAGACUCCCAUAAAAUAUUGGCAGAGCGACUGUGGCACAAUUAGGGAAUGGCUGCGGAAUGUGCUGGAAGAGGUGCCGAGACAGUCACUUAACUCUGCCAGUGCCUACAAAAUAUCCCCUGUGCCAGAGCCCAGAGUGAAAUCCUCUGUGCUGGCUGUGCGGAAGGCUUGGGUGUAAUUCAGAUGUUUUCAAUUGAAAAUGGAAUACCAAAUAAUUUCAAAUUUUCUACUGUACAAUUAAUUACACGUUCAUUGUAGAAAGGUUAGAGGAUGCAGCUAGGAAAACAGAGAAAGAAGAAACUAUAUUGCCUCCGAUCUCAGUUUACAGAGGUAUCAACGGUGGACAUUUUGGUGAUGGACUUAGCCUUUCCCUUUUCUUUUUUCUCUUUUUCCCUUAAUCACUCCUUCACAUUUUUACAUAUCCCUAUAAAAUACGUAACUUCUCACCAUGGAACUAUAUCCUUAAAAAAUAUGGCUAGCCAUAAUGUUAUCAGUGGGAAUGGUUAGGGCUACGUUUUGUACGUCACGGUUCACUUUUUCAUCUUAAUUUUGUAUUUAGUGUUUAUAGCUUUUGGGGAAAAUUCACGUUCUUAGUUUUGAAUUUCAUAGUGUAUGGUCCAAUUAAUGCUAUUUUCCUAACUUUACCCCUCCCCCCCCCCGCCCA